GCGGUGGGCGGUGGGCUGGGCUGGGCUGGGCUGCGGGCCCCUGCGGCUGUCCAG
rnacentral:miRNA from 1 species